AUAUGAAUCACCUGGGUAAUCUUACUGAAAUGCAGAUUCUGAUUCAGUGGACCUGGGAUCAAGGUGAGGUUGAGGUUUCUAAUAAGCUGCCAGGUGAUGCCAAU
rnacentral:pre_miRNA from 1 species